rnacentral:rRNA from 1 species
UUAAGUCCGUACGAGCGCAACCCUUGUCCUUAGUUACCAGCACGUUAUGGUGGGCACUCUAAGGAGACUGCCGGUGACAACCGGAGGAAGUGGGGAUGACGUCAAGUCAUCAUGGCCCUUACGGCCUGGGCUACACACGUGCUACAAUGGUCGGUACAAAGGGUUGCCAAGCCGCGAGGUGGAGCUAAUCCCAUAAACCGAUCGUAGUCCGGAUCGCAGUCUGCAACUCGACUGCGUGAAGUCGGAAUCGCUAGUAAUCGUGAAUCAGAAUGUCACGGUGAAUACGUUCCCGGGCCUU